AAAUGAUGCAGGGGCUUUAGUGGUGAUCUGCUUUCCAUUUGGAGAGCUGAGCCUCCUAACCACCCAGAGGGAGCUUUUUCACCCCAAGGAUGAAUUAAAAUCCUGUGUCUGGCCAUUUCAUCAUGUAGUAAGAAAUGGAAGACCCUCUUCUUGCACCCUUCACCCAGCAGGAACUGAGUGUUGAAAAGUCUCUGACAACUUGAUGUCUAUUUUGACUUUCACAAGAAAACAGGAGUCUGCUUAUGCCUAGUACCACCCCUGCACUCAGAGCCUGAAGGAACAGCAGUGGGCCGGGCAGAGCGUGGACUAAUACCAGAACCUUGUGAGGAAGAAGAAGCUCUUGGCAUGGGGCCGUUGGCAGCCAAGCCCUCCCCAAGCCCUGGCAUCUUGGGCCUGGGCUGCUCUGAGACAAAUGGAACCAAUAGGGCCUAACCUGACGAGAUGUUUUUCUUGCUGUGCUCACACCUCCGUCUCCUCAGCUUCCCAGGACCUGGCUAGGAGGUGGAGCUCGGCAGACGACCCAGUGCUCCCAAGGCUGGUGGCUCUAGCAGGAACCAUUCACUCAAGGAUCAAGGUAUCAGGAAAGGCCACAGGACAGGACAGAAGCCAAAGCAACCCAGAAAGUGAUGAGUUCUGCAAUCAAGAUAGGAGUAGGGUGCCCACAGGAGGAAGCACAAGCCACUUGGGGACAGGAAAAGCCCACAGAGAUGGUGACAUUUGGUCUGAGUCUUGAGAGAUGAGAAGUCAGUAGACCAGAGACAGGAGGCACUCACUCCAAGCAGAGGGGCUAGCCCACGCAAAGACCCAGAGAUCAAGGACUAUUUAGGGAGUUUGCAGAAGAGCUGAAGAGAGAUUUGUGGAAUGAGCAAAAUGGCCUGUGGGAGCAGUGCUAGAAGACUUGAAAUGAUCCAACACGUAGAAAUGACAAAUGCUCAAGGUGAUGGAGGUCCCAAAUACCCUGACUUGAUUAUUACACAUUUUAUGCGUGUAUGCACGUAACAAAAUAGCACAGGUGUCUCAUAAAUAUAUACAAAUGUUUCACGUCAAUAAAAAAUGGUCUGAAUCAAGAUCAUCAUUUUUUGUGCCGCUUUUUCAUCUGCCCCAAUCCCUGAAUGUUGGGGCCACCUGGGCCUCUUUAUGUUUCCCAUGACUUGUCUCAACAGGGCAGCUCAGCCAGGUGUGGAGGCUUACAUGUUUUCUAGAGGAUGCUCAUUGGCUAAAGUGUGCAGAGGGUGUGUCCACAGCACCCCAGUCCCUACCACCUUCCGGAAAGAGGUAAAAACUACGGCUUCCCAAGAGGCUGCUAGGCAGAUGCCCCACUGGUCUCUAGUAAGAUCUGUUCCCAUCUCCAGCUGCAGACAAGGAAGCCCCCAGAGCCAACCCAAGCCCUCAGCACUGGCUUCAGUUCUGUGCUGCUAUCCCUUGUCACCUCAGGCUUAAAAUGGGGUACCUCACCCUAGGACUGGAAAUGAAGCCAUGUUUUUUUCUUGUACAAAUAGCCUAUGUUCAAUAUUUUUCUUUUUUUAAGGUAUGGAGAAACAAAAGUCAAAUAAAAUUGAGGCUGGGUGCAAUGGCUUGUACCUGUAAUCCCAACACUUUGGGAGGCUGAGGUGGAUGGAUUGCGUGAGCCCAGGGGUUUAAGACCAGCCUGGGCAACAUGGUGAAAUCCCAUCUCCACAAAAACUAAAAACAUUAGCUGGGUGUGGUGGUGUGCCCCUGUAGUCUCAGCUACUUGUGGGGCUGAGGUGGGAGGAUUGCUUGAGCCUGGGAGGUCAAGGUUACAGUGUGCCAUGAUUGCACCACUGCACUCCAACUAGGGGGACAGAGCAAGACCUUGUGUCAAAUAAACAAACAAACAAAUAAAUAAAAUUCAUCUGCAAUCUCAUGACCUAGAAAGAACCACUGAUACAUACCUUUUGUGGUACAUAUAUGUGUGCAUGUGGGUGGGUAGAUGUAUGUGUCUGUUUUUAAAUUUACAAAAAAUGUAAUCAUACUACAUUUUUUGAGUAUGCGAAAUAACUUAUUCUCUUGUAAAAUCAACAAGUAAGGAAAGAAACAGUCUGGAAACAAACUCAAAUCAGUAUUAGAAAAGUAAACUUUUUUCCCACAUUUUAGAAAGUACUGUAAGACUAACUGUGCUAACAUGAGUUAUCAAUUUACAAAAGUACAUACCUAAAGCUACACAGAUUAAACAGUUAUGUGUUCUGUUUUCUUACCUCCUUUUUCUCUUAACAAUAUGUCACAAGCAUCUUACUAGCUGUGUGACCUUGGGCACCUUGAAUCCCAGCAAUUUGGGAGGCCGAAGCGGGCAGAUCAUGACGUCAAGAGAUUGAGACCAUCCUGGCCAACAUGAUGAAAUCCUGUCUCUACUAAAAAUACAAAAAAUUAGCCAGGCAUGGUGGCAUGCACCUGUAAUCCUAGAUACUCAGGAGGCUGAGGCAGGAGAAUCACUUGAACCUGGGAGAUAGAGGUUGCAGUGAACCAAGAUUGUGCCACUGCACUCCAGCCUGGUGACAGAGCAAGUGCCCUCCAUACAUGUUAUAAUUACUUUUGUUAUUAUUCAUCAUUUUUAAUGGUUGCCUAGAAUUCCAUCAUCUCCACCAGUGGAUUUGGUUCUCAACCAGGCAAUUAGUCCCAGGGCCAUGUCUGGAGACAUUUUUGGUUGUCACAACUUAAGUGAAGGAUGCUAUUGGCAUUUGGCGAUUGGAGGCCAGGGAUGCUGGUAAACAUCCUAAGGGGCACAGGACAGUCCCCAACUAGUCAAUAGUACUGAGGUUGAGAAGCCAUAGUCUAAUCUAUGUCACUCUGCAAUCAACAAGGCAGUGGAGGUUUGGGGGAGGAGGAAGAAACGAUCCUGGCAUGUCUUGGGGAAAGUAGUCCAGUGUUCGGGUGACACGCAUGACAAAACCAUGUACACACAGGAGUAGUGAGGGGGAGUGUAUGAGUGACUGUCCCUGCAUCCAGAUGCUCUGGACAGUGGGGUAGGAGGGAAAGUUGGGGACUCAUGGCUCCCAAGACCUCUUUUACCUCCUGUGACCCUGCCAACAACAUGAAGCACAGAGCUCAAUCUUAUGACCCAUGGUAAACCUCACAGUUAAUGAUCCCCUGCUGCCCGGCAGACAGACUCACUGUCAUGCUGUCUAAAGAGGUGUCGGAGGCGGGGGGAGGCUAAGGAAAGGAUCUAGGGGGCCUAUACAUGAUGCUUCUGGGUGACCUGCAGCAGGGAAGGGGAU